rnacentral:rRNA from 1 species
AGCGACACCGCGUGAAGGAUGAAUCCCCUCGGGGUGUAAACUUCUGUUCUGAGGGACGAAAUUUUUGACGGUACCUCAGGAGAAAGCACCGGCUAAUUCCGUGCCAGCAGCCGCGGUAAGACGGAAGGUGCAAGCGUUACUCGGAAUUACUGGGCGUAAAGCGUCCGCAGGCGACCUCCCCAGUCUGGCGUAAAAGUUCGGAGCUCAACUCCGUGAUGUGCCAGAAACUAGGAGGAUUGAGUCAUUCAGAGGCAUCUGGAAUGCAGUGUGAAGGGGUAAAAUCCGUUGAUCCACUGUGGAACGCCAAAAGCGAAGGCAGGAUGCUGGGAAUGUACUGACGCUCAGGGACGAAAGCGUGGGGAGCGAACGGGAUUAGAUACCCCGGUAGUCCACGCCCUAAACGAUGCGUGCUCGGUGUGGGAACGUUUCAAUUAGUUCCCGUGCCUUAGCUAACGCGUUAAGCACGCCGCCUGAGUAGUACGGCCGCAAGGCUAAAACUUAAAGGAAUAGACGGGGACCCACACAAGCGGUGGAGCAUGGGGUUUAAUUCGAUACUAAGCGGAGCACCUCACCCAGGCUUGACAUCCCGAGAAUCAUCUAGAAAUAGAUGGGUGCCGCAAGGAACUCGGUGACAGGUGGUGCACGGUCGUCGUCAGCUCGUGUCUUGAGAUGUACUGUUAAGUCAGCAAACGAGCGCAACCCUCAUCCUAUGUUGCUUUU